rnacentral:rRNA from 1 species
CUAUGCGCCUUGCCAGCCCGCUCAGGUGUGCCAGCAGCCGCGGUAAUACGUAGGUGGCGAGCGUUAUCCGGAAUGAUUGGGCGUAAAGGGUGCGCAGGCGGUCCUGCAAGUCUGGAGUGAAACGCAUGAGCUCAACUCAUGCAUGGCUUUGGAAACUGGAGGACUGGAGAGCAGGAGAGGGCGGUGGAACUCCAUGUGUAGCGGUAAAAUGCGUAGAUAUAUGGAAGAACACCAGUGGCGAAGGCGGCCGCCUGGCCUGUUGCUGACGCUGAGGCUCGAAAGCGUGGGAGCAAACAGG